UGUGUCCCAGGUGUCCCCAGGUGUGUCCUGCUCUAUCCCAGGUGUCCCCAGGUGUGGUUUUGGUGUCUCCAGGUGUGUCCUGCUCUAUCUCAGGUGUGUCCAGGUGAGCUCAGGUGUGUCCCAAACCUCUCUAGAUCCUCUCCAGGUGUCCCCAGGUGUGUCCUGCUCUAUCCCAGGUGUGUCCUGGUGUCCCCAGCUGUGUCUCAGGUGAGCUCAGGUGUGUCCCAAACCUCUCUAAAUCCUCUCUAGGUGUCCCCAGGUGUCCCCCGAUGUCCUCAGGUGUCUCAGGUGUGUCCCAACCCCCUCCAGGUGUGUCCAGGUGUGUCCUGCUCUAUCCCAGGUGUCCCCAGCUGUGUCUCAGGUGUGUUUUUGGU